GCUAAAUUGGAAUUUGACAAAAUCAAAGUUCCCCCACACAAAUUUUCCAAACAAAAAUUCUUAACCUCUCAUCUCUCACUCUCAACGACCUAGAUAUUUUUUUAAACUCUCUCAAACAAAGCUCUCUCUCUCUCUCUCUCUCUCUCUCUCUCUCUCUCAAUCGAACCUCUCGCUUUCUCUCACCCAGAAACACGCUGUUUCUCAUGCUCUCUCUCAAUCGAACUUCUCUCUCAAUCGAACCUCUCUCUCUCACCCAAAACCCUCAAUUUCAAACCCUCACAAUCAACACCAAUCGAAUCUCAGACAACCUUAACCUCAACGAAAUCUCAAUCAAACCACAACCCUAAUAUCGUCUUCUUAAACCCUACCAUUGUCCCUCUGAAAUCUCUUGGAAAUGGCUCUCUGAAAACUUGAGGUUGCUCUUUGGCUGGGAUAGAAUCCAUACUUGAUUUUACUUGGAUUGUUGUUCAAAGAGUUUGGGAUGUGGUUGAAGAGAAAAAUAGCGAGAUCAAGAGUUUAGAUGAGACUUUGAAUAGGCCGGUGCUCGAGAGGAUGUUGUUAAAGCAUCUCAGUUUGAGAUCAUUGUGCUGUAGGACACCGUGAAUAAAUUAAGCAUUGCUCAUUGAAUAACUUACGUAUUUGCGGUUGGAGGGUGUAACUGAAUGAAUUUUUCUAAGACUUUGGACAAUGGCUGGAGGUGUUGCUGAUUGCCAAUUUUGGCAUAGGAAUCUUGACUUGAGGUACUUUACCCGUCUUUCUUCUGCAACAACUACCAGAGUGAAUACAUCAACAAGAUGAAUGAAUAAUGAUGAUAUGGAUGAAGAAUUUCAAGAUUUGGAAAUACAAGAGAUGAAAGAGAUGUUGAUGAGUUUAAUUUAGGGGUGUUAAAGUUUUUUUUUUUUUUGCUUAUAUAUGUAAUUUGAUUUUCAUUUUAGAUCGUAUAUAAAUAAAUUAACAUAUAUGUAGCGGUGUCGGUGUCCUAUAUAUCUCCAUUGGUUUCCUAUAUUGUUGUAUUUGUGUCAUCUCACCGAUAUUGCCUUAAUUAUUUUGUUACAUUUGUGUUUUCUCACUGAUUUUUUUUAUUAUUGGCAGGUUAAUCAUCAAUUUUGUAGCCUUCAAUGAGGCCCGGCAAGUUGAUACAAUCUAAAGCAAAAAAUAAAUAAGGGCAGCAAAAAGAUGAUCGGUGAAAUUAUUGCUGCUAGAGUGAAAAUAUGCAAAAUAGGAAACAAGGAAGAAAGGAAAAGAAAAGGAGUGGAAAGAGAAGUUGUAACUAAUAGCAUAUAUGAAAUGUGGAAUUAAAUAAAGGAAGAAGGGCGAGUGAUGAUGAUGAACUUUCCUGUGGUUUACCUCUUCAAAUUCAACGGUCCUUCUUCACAACUUCUUAGCAAUAUCACGUAUGUUGUUAGAAUAAUAGGGAUUUAGUAAAUAAUAGUUAAAAAUAUAUAAUGAGGUGGAAAUUAAAUAAAAAUGUGUACAAUUUGGUUGACAUAUCAUGAUCCAUAUCAACAUUGAUUAAAUAUCGACUAACUUCAAAUUAACCG
rnacentral:lncRNA from 1 species